UGCUAUACAUGCAGUCGAACGAACUUCCGUUAAUUGAUUAUGACGUACUUGUACUGAUUGAGAUUUUAACACGAAGUGAGUGGCGAACGGGUGAGUAACACGUGGGUAACCUGCCCAGAAGUAGGGGAUAACACCUGGAAACAGAUGCUAAUACCGUAUAACAGAGAAAACCGCAUGGUUUUCUUUUAAAAGAUGGCUCUGCUAUCACUUCUGGAUGGACCCGCGGCGUAUUAGCUAGUUGGUGAGGUAAAGGCUCACCAAGGCAGUGAUACGUAGCCGACCUGAGAGGGUAAUCGGCCACAUUGGGACUGAGACACGGCCCAGACUCCUACGGGAGGCAGCAGUAGGGAAUCUUCCACAAUGGACGCAAGUCUGAUGGAGCAACGCCGCGUGAGUGAAGAAGGGUUUCGGCUCGUAAAGCUCUGUUGUUAAAGAAGAACGUGGGUAAGAGUAACUGUUUACCCAGUGACGGUAUUUAACCAGAAAGCCACGGCUAACUACGUGCCAGCAGCCGCGGUAAUACGUAGGUGGCAAGCGUUAUCCGGAUUUAUUGGGCGUAAAGCGAGCGCAGGCGGUCUUUUAAGUCUAAUGUGAAAGCCUUCGGCUCAACCGAAGAAGUGCAUUGGAAACUGGGAGACUUGAGUGCAGAAGAGGACAGUGGAACUCCAUGUGUAGCGGUGAAAUGCGUAGAUAUAUGGAAGAACACCAGUGGCGAAGGCGGCUGUCUGGUCUGCAACUGACGCUGAGGCUCGAAAGCAUGGGUAGCGAACAGGAUUAGAUACCCUGGUAGUCCAUGCCGUAAACGAUGAUUACUAAGUGUUGGAGGGUUUCCGCCCUUCAGUGCUGCAGCUAACGCAUUAAGUAAUCCGCCUGGGGAGUACGACCGCAAGGUUGAAACUCAAAAGAAUUGACGGGGGCCCGCACAAGCGGUGGAGCAUGUGGUUUAAUUCGAAGCUACGCGAAGAACCUUACCAGGUCUUGACAUCUUCUGACAGUCUAAGAGAUUAGAGGUUCCCUUCGGGGACAGAAUGA
rnacentral:rRNA from 1 species